AGAGUUUGAUCAUGGCUCAGAUUGAACGCUGGCGGCAGGCCUAACACAUGCAAGUCGAGCGGUAGCACAGAGAGCUUGCUCUCGGGUGACGAGCGGCGGACGGGUGAGUAAUGUCUGGGAAACUGCCUGAUGGAGGGGGAUAACUACUGGAAACGGUAGCUAAUACCGCAUAAUGUCGCAAGACCAAAGUGGGGGACCUUCGGGCCUCAUGCCAUCAGAUGUGCCCAGAUGGGAUUAGCUAGUAGGUGGGGUAACGGCUCACCUAGGCGACGAUCCCUAGCUGGUCUGAGAGGAUGACCAGCCACACUGGAACUGAGACACGGUCCAGACUCCUACGGGAGGCAGCAGUGGGGAAUAUUGCACAAUGGGCGCAAGCCUGAUGCAGCCAUGCCGCGUGUGUGAAGAAGGCCUUCGGGUUGUAAAGCACUUUCAGCGGGGAGGAAGGCGGUGAGGUUAAUAACCUCAUCGAUUGACGUUACCCGCAGAAGAAGCACCGGCUAACUCCGUGCCAGCAGCCGCGGUAAUACGGAGGGUGCAAGCGUUAAUCGAAAUUACUGGGCGUAAAGCGCACGCAGGCGGUCUGUCAAGUCGGAUGUGAAAUCCCCGGGCUCAACCUGGGAACUGCAUUCGAAACUGGCAGGCUAGAGUCUUGUAGAGGGGGGUAGAAUUCCAGGUGUAGCGGUGAAAUGCGUAGAGAUCUGGAGGAAUACCGGUGGCGAAGGCGGCCCCCUGGACAAAGACUGACGCUCAGGUGCGAAAGCGUGGGGAGCAAACAGGAUUAGAUACCCUGGUAGUCCACGCCGUAAACGAUGUCGAUUUGGAGGUUGUGCCCUUGAGGCGUGGCUUCCGGAGCUAACGCGUUAAAUCGACCGCCUGGGGAGUACGGCCGCAAGGUUAAAACUCAAAUGAAUUGACGGGGGCCCGCACAAGCGGUGGAGCAUGUGGUUUAAUUCGAUGCAACGCGAAGAACCUUACCUGGUCUUGACAUCCACAGAACUUUCCAGAGAUGGAUUGGUGCCUUCGGGAACUGUGAGACAGGUGCUGCAUGGCUGUCGUCAGCUCGUGUUGUGAAAUGUUGGGUUAAGUCCCGCAACGAGCGCAACCCUUAUCCUUUGUUGCCAGCGGUUAGGCCGGGAACUCAAAGGAGACUGCCAGUGAUAAACUGGAGGAAGGUGGGGAUGACGUCAAGUCAUCAUGGCCCUUACGACCAGGGCUACACACGUGCUACAAUGGCAUAUACAAAGAGAAGCGACCUCGCGAGAGCAAGCGGACCUCAUAAAGUAUGUCGUAGUCCGGAUUGGAGUCUGCAACUCGACUCCAUGAAGUCGGAAUCGCUAGUAAUCGUAGAUCAGAAUGCUACGGUGAAUACGUUCCCGGGCCUUGUACACACCGCCCGUCACACCAUGGGAGUGGGUUGCAAAAGAAGUAGGUAGCUUAACCUUCGGGAGGGCGCUUACCACUUUGUGAUUCAUGACUGGGGUGAAGUCGUAACAAGGUAACCGUAGGGGAACCUGCGGUUG
rnacentral:rRNA from 1 species